GAGGAGGAAAUGUAGAAUACGCAGGGUCGGCCCGAUGCCUGUCAAAUACACCGACCAACCUGGCCCAUUCCCAACCCUCGUAAAAUAUCCCAGUGCGCUCUCUUCCCCGAGAUCUUUCCCCCAGAUCCACCAUUGUUGCUGAGUUCCUCCCUCGUCUGUGCCGUGUAGCCAUGAGUUCGUGGCUAGUUCCUCAUCCGUCCUGUCGCCGGUAACCAACAAUUCGUCUCUCGUCUGGACUCCCUCGUUCCUCCUUAUUCCUCUUUACUGCCGCCAUCGAUCUCCCACCAAUCUUCAAUCAACCUAAAUCGUAGGUUUCCAAGAUUACCCGGCUGCCCUAAUUGUAUUCUUCGUGGAUUCACUGCAAGGAAUCUGAUUCUCCAGAUAUUUAAUUAUGAGAGAUACGGACUAGUCCAGUGGAUAAUGAAUGUGCAAGCGCAGAAGAAAAUGAAGCUUCUGAUAUCAACGAGGUCUAUUCGCUACCUAAUUUGAGCGACGCCGAAAAUGAAGUCCAAUCAACAGUACGAACAAAACGAUGAAAAUAUUUUCUCCUCUUUCGAGCAGAUGGACACUAGGGAAGUGUCGACCAAAAUACCAGAGUAAAAACAAUAUGAUAAUUUUGCUUGAUGUUUCAUUCGGCUGAACUAUCUUUCUAAUUAAGUUAUCAAACAUUGCAUUUGCAGAGGCGAGACGUCUCGACCCAUGGAACAAUCUAUGAGAGAGUACUGCUAGGAUAUGACCACUCAAAUGUUCAAACCUAAGAUUGGAAUGACAUUCGAUUCUUUGACAGAAGCAUACAAAUUCUACAAGUCGUGUUCAUUGGUUAAGGGAUUCAGUAUUAGGUAUGGCGACAGCUAUACCUUGACCAAAAAAAUUAGGACCAUGCAGGAAUUAGUCUGCCAAUGUUCGGGGAAACCAAGAACACUAAGCAGUCAACUAUGCGUUGUGACUGCAAAGCUCGUUUUAAAGUGUGCUUUAAUGAGAAAUCAAAAUGGUAUGUGAAAUCCAUGAUUUAGUGGAGAAUUGUGGUGAAAAAAAAAACAUCUUUUUUCACAUCAACAGAUUGACAAGCAUACAAAGGAUAUGAUUAGGUAUCUGAGGAGAACAAUAUAGCAUUGAGUCGUGUUGACUCCAUUAUGGGAAGCUGGUUUGGGUCAGUGGAGAAAGUUCCUUUCUCAAAGAAGUCCCUUGGUACAAGUUUUCAUUCAUGGAGUGUACAGUAUUCCUGAUUGCCAGGCAAGCACGAAUGUCAAAGUUUAAUCCCAAUCUUAGGAAUCUUGGCAAGGACAGGAGAAUGAAAAGUAGGUCUUUUCGCCACAAGGUUGUUUAAUGUCAGCAAUGGGGUUAGUAAAUCAGGAUGAGGUGGAUGAGGAAUGUUGUGAAAUCGCGAACCGAAAUAUUGAACGUGGAAAGAAGGAAAUUGAAGAAUAUAGGCGGUCAAAGUUGACAACUUGCCAGGUUGGAGUAGUCCAGUCAAGGUUCCGCAGCAAAUGUAAAUCUCCGGACCACAACAUAGCAUGCUGCCCCAAGAUGCUGAUGGAAGAUGGUCCUAACUAGAGCGGUAGAGCCUGGUUCUGUUAAUAACUAAAAAGAUCAGAUGUCCCAUUAGCCUAAGCUUUGUUUGUAAGUGGUAAUGUAUAUUAUUUAGUAUAUAUCUGUUCAGACUUUUUGGCUUUUCUAUUUGUGUUUCUCUUCACUACUCUUCUGGUAAAAAUUUCUAUCUAUUUUAUGUGACAUGGUAACAAUUUCUAUCUA